rnacentral:rRNA from 1 species
UACAGAGGGUGCAAGCGUUUGUUCGGAAUCAUUGGGGCGUAAAGGGCGUGUAGGCGGUUUGUUAAGUCAUGUGUGAAAUCCCUCGGCUCAACCGGGGAACGACGCAUGAAACUGGCAAGCUAGAGUACCAAAGAGGGUGGUGGAAUUCCCGGUGUAGCGGUGAAAUGCGUAGAUAUGUGGCGGAACACCGAUGGCGAAGGCAGCCCCCUGGGCUGAGAUUGACGCUCAGGCACGAAAGCGUGGGGAGCAAACAGG